AAACGAAAGUUUGACUAAGCCAUAUUGACCAGGGUUGGUAAAUCUCGUGCCAGCCACCGCGGUCAUACGAUUGACCCAAGCUAACAGGAGUACGGCGUAAAGCGUGUUAAAGCAUCAUACUAAAUAGAGUUAAAUUUUAAUUAAACUGUAAAAAGCCAUAAUUAUAACAAAAAUAAAUGACGAAAGUAACCCUACAAUAGCUGAUACACCAUAGCUAAGACCCAAACUGGGAUUAGAUACCCCACUAUGCUUAGCCCUAAACACAAAUAAUUAUAAAAACAAAAUUAUUCGCCAGAGUACUACCGGCAACAGCCCGAAACUCAAAGGACUUGGCGGUG
rnacentral:rRNA from 1 species